rnacentral:Y_RNA from 1 species
GGCUGGUCCAAUUUACAACUCAUUUAUCACAACCAGUUACAGAUUUCUUUGUUUCUUCUCCACUCCCACUGCUUCACUUGACUAGCCUUAA